GUCCAGAUCAUGUUUUCAGGUUCAGAACACAAUUUCAUGCGUCUGAAAGUACAAUAUUCAAAAGUUCUCAUCGCUUGAUGUACAUUUUUACACGUGAUUCUUCAGCAUGUCCUUUCUGCCAUGAACAGGUGAAUAAAGUGCCUAUCUUCUUAAUUUCACACGUUUUGAAAUGAAGCAUUUCUUUACACCUGAUUUUUUUUUUCUCACCUUUUUGUUUUUGCUUUUACAACUGUAGAAAACGCGUGACAAAUGUGAAGGUUUUUUUUUCAAAGUAGGAAAAUGCUAUAGAUGAUUUUCUCUGCCCCAAAAGCCUUUAUAUUUAGAAAAACUAAUGUUUAUAUAGAAGUCCAUUCAUUGAUUCCUUCAAGUAAGCUUAUGAUCGGAAAAACAUCGACAGAGGAGCUCCUUCUCUAACGUUAACAAUCUGUAAGUGUGCAAUUUUAUUUCCAGAUUCUAGAUAUAUAUUUAUACAUUCCAUCAUGGUUUUACAACUAGUACAGUAUAGCGUUUAUGGAUGUGUAUUUAUCUUCCGAAAGUCCGCUAGCAUGUUGUGCUAUAAGCUUCCCAUACUAUUGUAUUUUAGUUAGCUAAGUUAGCUGUCUUUUAUACUGACUAACGUUAGGCAAGAGGGUGUUGUACCUAGUUUGUUUACUCAUGUCAUAGUGAAAACGUCGCCCUUUUCUGACAAGUCAUUUCAUGCCAACUGUCAGCCCAGGAACUUGUGAUAUAAAUCCAUGUCGUCAUCGUUAUGUUACUGAAACUAACGUUGCUAUCUAUUUCAUGCCUGCUAGUUAACAGUACAAUGUUAGCUAUUUUGUGUGCUAACCCAGCUUCCUAUUUAUUUUUCAAAGGCAGGAUGGAGACACUGGGAUGUAUGUCAGAGACCCAUACAGUAGUAACCCCGCCGUAGGCUUGCUUGACAUCUACCAAGAGGUCUGGACCUUUAUGGCUCAGAAAGAACAGGAUAGGUCUAAACAAAGAUACUGGUCAUAUAGCUUUUGUCAAGUGUGUUUAAACUACACUGAUCCAGGGCAAGCAGCCCUGGUCCCACUCCUCUCCCUCAAUCACUACAGUGGCAUUACUUGAACUUCUAUCGCUCCUGUAGCACCAGCAGGUUGGAGAUGUGGACACCACCAUUCCCAUUAUGUACCGCUUCUGUUUUUCAUUUCUUUCUACUUGGAACUGUGGUUCACACAUGUUAUGUUGUCUAAUUCCAGGUGCAUACAGGAAGAAUUUUAUUUUUGUAUACUCCCAUUUUAUUAUAGUGGUCUUUCCACAUGUCAUAAAUAGAGUAGAUGGUUAAAGGGCAUUCCUUUCGUUUGACAUGUGUGCUCAAAGUGUUUAAUCUCUGUCAUUGUGUUUUACAGCAAUCUUCUUCAACGUGGUGACGUGGAACAACCUGAAUUUUUAUUUCUGUUGGUAAGGUAUGGCUUGUGUGAGGUGGUGGGAUUUGUGUGAGUUUAUUUUUUGGUUGUUGAUGAUGAUGAUGAUGACCAGGAGGUGGAUGGCAAAGGGGAGAUCAGAAAAGGUCCUAACCACUAGGUGGUUCUGGAAUCCUGGGAAGGGGGUGCCCUUUAACCAUCUACUCUGUGUUGAUCAAGGUGUUUAUAUGUUGUUUGUUGGGGUGGUUGUGUAGUCUAGAAGGGGGUGCCCGGCCGUGUUGAUCAAGGUGUUUAUAUGUUGUUGUUUGUUGGGGUGGUUGUGUAGUCUAGAAGGGGGUGCCCGGCCGUGUUGAUCAAGGUGUUUAUAUGUUGUUUGUUGGGGUGGUUGUGUAGUCUAGAAGGGGGUGCCCGGACGUGUUGAUCAAGGUGUUUAUAUGUUGUUUGUUGGGGUGGUUGUGUAGUCUAGAAGGGGGUGCCCGGACGUGUUGAUCAAGGUGUUUAUAUGUUGUUGUUUGUUGGGGUGGUUGUGUAGUCUAGAAGGGGGUGCCUGGCCGUGUUGAUCAAGGUGUUUAUAUGUUGUUUGUUGGGGUGGUUGUGUAGUCUAGAAGGGGGUGCCCGGACGUGUUGAUCAAGGUGUUUAUAUGUUGUUGUUGUUGGGGUGGUUGUGUAGUCUAGAAGGGGGUGCCCGGCUGUGUUGAUGAAGGUGUUUAUAUGUUGUUUUUUGGGGUGGUUGUGUAGUCUAGAAGGGGGUGCCCGGCCGUGUUGAUCAAGGUGUUUAUAUGUUGUUUGUUGGGGUGGUUGUGUAGUCUAGAAGGGGGUGCCCGGCUGUGUUGAUGAAGGUGUUUAUAUGUUGUUUUUUGGGGUGGUUGUGUAGUCUAGAAGGGGGUGCCCGGCCGUGUUGAUCAAGGUGUUUAUAUGUUGUUUUUUGGGGUGGUUGUGUAGUCUAGAAGGGGGUGCCCGGCCGUGUUGAUCAAGGUUUGCCUGUUCACUCAUCCAGAAGGCGAGGUCAGUACAGAUGCAUCUAAGCUGGGACCGAGAGACUGAAAAACAGCUUCUAUCUCAAGGCCGUCAGACUGUUAAACAGCCAUCACUAACAUACAGUGGCUGCUGCCAACAUACUGACUCAACUCAAGCCACUUUAAUAAUGAAAAAUGUAUGUAAUAAAUGUAUCGCUAGCCACUUUAAACAAUGCCACUUUAUAUAAUGUUUACAUAUCCUACAUUACUCAUGUCAUAUGUAUAUACUGUACUCUAUAUCAUCUACUGCAUCUUGCCAUCUUGAUGUAAUAAAUGUAUCACUAGCCACUUUAAUCAAUGCCACUUUAUAUAAUGUUUACAUACCCUACAUUACUCAUCUCAUAUGUAUAUACUGUACUCUAUACCAUCUACUGCAUCUUGCCUAUGCCGUUCGGCCAUCGCUCAUUCAUAUAUUUUUAUGUACAUAUUCUUAUUCAUUCCUAUACACUUGUGUGUAUAAGGUAGUUAUUGUGAAAUUGUUAGAUAUUACUGCAUGGUCAGAACUAGAAGCACAAGCAUUUCCCUACACUCGCAUUAACAUCUGCUAACCAUGUGUAUGUGACAAAUAAAAUAAGAUUUGAGGUGUUAAAAUGUUUUUUGGGUUGUUUUUUUUUGGUGCGGUUGGUGAAUAUUUUACCCAUUGCCACUCAUUUUACCUGUAGGUAGGUAUUACUGUUCAAUUCAAAGUAAUUCAGAGUAAGUGAGUUCCAGUAAUCGUAGUAGAUGAUGGUCUGGUCUGCCUGGUUGUGGGGUAUUGUAGUAGUUGAUGGUCUGCCUGGUUGUGGGGUAUUGUAGUAGUUGAUGGUCUGUCUGGUUGUGGGGUAUUGUAGUAGUUGAUGGUCUGUCUGGUUGUGGGGUAUUGUAGUAGUUGAUGGUCUGUCUGGUUGUGGGGUAUUGUAGUAGUUGAUGGUCUGGUCUGGUUGUGGGGUAUUGUAGUAGUU
rnacentral:lncRNA from 1 species